rnacentral:rRNA from 1 species
AUAUUAAUAAGCGGAGGAAAAGAAACUAACAAGGAUUCCCCUAGUAACGGCGAGUGAAGCGGGAAGAGCUCAAAAUGAAAAUCGGCUGGCCAAGCGGCAAGUCGAGUUGUAGUCUAAAGAUGUAACGUCAGCAUGUGACCCGGAUAUAAAUCUUUUGGAACAGGGUGUCAUAGAGGGUGAGAAUCCCGUCUUUGAUCCGGAGCUCGCUGCGUACGACGUGCAUUCAACGAGUCGAGUUGUUUGGGAUUGCAGCUCUAAGUGGGUGGUAAAUUCCAUCUAAAGCUAAAUAUUGGUGGGAGACCGAUAGCGCACAAGUA